UACGAAGGGGGCUAGCGUUGCUCGGAAUUACUGGGCGUAAAGGGCGCGUAGGCGGAUAGUUUAGUCAGAGGUGAAAGCCCAGGGCUUAACCUUGGAACUGCCUUUGAUACUGGCUAUCUUGAGUUCGGGAGAGGUGAGUGGAAUGCCGAGUGUAGAGGUGAAAUUCGUAGAUAUUCGGCGGAACACCAGUGGCGAAGGCGACUCACUGGCCCGAUACUGACGCUGAGGCGCGAAAGCGUGGGGAGCAAACAGG
rnacentral:rRNA from 1 species